UCUCGAUAGCGUAAAAGUUAACUUUGUAAAAGUCAAAUUUGUAUGGAGUUGGAACGUUUGCCUACGUUUUCCGCUAGGGGCGCUGUUCCAACUGCAUACAAAUUUAAAUUAACUUUCACGCUAUCGA
rnacentral:pre_miRNA from 9 species